rnacentral:rRNA from 1 species
GCUCAGGAUGAACGCUGGCGGCGUGCUUAACACAUGCAAGUCGAACGAAGCAAUCUAACGGAAGUUUUCGGAUGGAAGCUAGAUUGACUGAGUGGCGGACGGGUGAGUAACGCGUGGGUAACCUGCCUCACACUGGGGGACAACAGUUAGAAAUGACUGCUAAUACCGCAUAAGCGCACAGGACCGCAUGGUCUGGUGUGAAAAACUCCGGUGGCGUGAGAUGGACCCGCGUUUGAUUAGCUAGUUGGUGGGGUAACGGCCUACCAAGGCGACGAUCAAUAGCCGACCUGAGAGGGUGACCGGCCACAUUGGGACUGAGACACGGCCCAAACUCCUACGGGAGGCAGCAGUA